rnacentral:rRNA from 1 species
ACACAUGCAGUCGAACGGAAUCCAUGGUGUAGCAAUACACCGGAAGAUUUAGUGGCGAACGGGUGAGGAUCACGUGAGAAACCUGCCCCAGACUUUGGGAUAACAAUUGGAAACGAUUGCUAAUACCGAAUGACGUCGGAGAACCGCAUGGUUCACUGACGAAAGGAAAUCCGGUUUGGGAGGGUCUCGCGGCCUAUCAGCUUGUUGGUGGGGUAAUGGCCUACCAAGGCAACGACGGGUAGCUGGUCUGAGAGGAUGAUCAGCCACACUGGGACUGAGACACGGCCCAGACUCCUACGGGAGGCAGCAGUGGGGAAUCUUGCGCAAUGGGCGAAAGCCUGACGCAGCAACGCCGCGUGCGGGAUGAAGGCCUUCGGGCUGUAAACCGCUUUCAGCAGGAACGAAAAUGACGGUACCUGCAGAAGAAGGAGCGGCCAACUACGUGCCAGCAGCCGCGGUGACACGUAGGCUCCAAGCGUUGUCCGGAUUUAUUGGGCGUAAAGAGCUCGUAGGCGGUUUAGUAAGUCGGGUGUUAAAACUCUGGGCUCAACCCGGAGAGGCUAUCCGAUACUGCUGUGACUUGAGUUCAGGAGGGGAGCGGGGAAUUCCUAGUGUAGCGGUGAAAUGCGCAGAUAUUAGGAGGAACACCGGUGGCGAAAGGCGCCGCUCUGGACUGAAACUGACGCUGAGGAGCGAAAGCAUGGGUAGCAAACAGGAUUAGAUACCCUGGUAGUCCAUGCCGUAAACGGUGGGCACUAGGUGUGGGUUCCAACUAACGGGAUCCGCGCCGUCGCUAACGCAUUAAGUGCCCCGCCUGGGGAGUACGGUCGCAGGACUAAAACUCAAAGGAAUUUGACGGGGGCCCGCCACAAGCAGCGGAGCGUGUUGCUUAAUUCGAUGCUACGCGAAGAANNUACCUGGGNUUGACAUG